GCGGGUGUAGCUCAGUGGUAGAGCAGAAGCCUUCCAAGCUUAAUGCGAGGGUUCGAUUCCCUUCACCCGCUCCA
rnacentral:tRNA from 1 species